GCUGACGAGUGGCGAACGGGUGAGUAAUACAUCGGAACGUGCCCAGUAAUGGGGGAUAGCUCGGCGAAAGCCGGAUUAAUACCGCAUACGCCCUGAGGGGGAAAGUGGGGGACCGCAAGGCCUCACGUUAUUGGAGCGGCCGAUGGCUGAUUAGCUAGUUGGUAGGGUAAAGGCCUACCAAGGCGACGAUCAGUAGCUGGUCUGAGAGGACGAUCAGCCACACUGGGACUGAGACACGGCCCAGACUCCUACGGGAGGCAGCAGUGGGGAAUUUUGGACAAUGGGGGAAACCCUGAUCCAGCAAUGCCGCGUGUGCGAAGAAGGCCUUCGGGUUGUAAAGCACUUUUGUCAGGGAAGAAAUCCUUUGGGCUAAUACCCUAGGGGGAUGACGGUACCUGAAGAAUAAGCACCGGCUAACUACGUGCCAGCAGCCGCGGUAAUACGUAGGGUGCAAGCGUUAAUCGGAAUUACUGGGCGUAAAGCGUGCGCAGGCGGUUGUGUAAGACAGGUGUGAAAUCCCCGGGCUUAACCUGGGAAUUGCAUUUGUGACUGCACGACUAGAGUGUGUCAGAGGGGGGUGGAAUUCCACGUGUAGCAGUGAAAUGCGUAGAUAUGUGGAGGAACACCAAUGGCGAAGGCAGCCCCCUGGGAUAACACUGACGCUCAUGCACGAAAGCGUGGGGAGCAAA
rnacentral:rRNA from 1 species